rnacentral:rRNA from 1 species
GACGAACGCUGGCGGCGUGCCUAAUACAUGCAAGUCGAACGCUUCUUUUCCCACCGGAGCUUGCUCCACCGGGAAAAGAGGAGUGGCGAACGGGUGAGUAACACGUGGGUAACCUGCCCAUCAGAAGGGGAUAACACUUGGAAACAGGUGCUAAUACCGUAUAACAAUCGAAACCGCAUGGUUUCGUUUUGAAAGGCGCUUUACGGUGCCGCUGAUGGAUGGACCCGCGGUGCAUUAGCUAGUUGGUGAGGUAACGGCUCACCAAGGCCACGAUGCAUAGCCGACCUGAGAGGGUGAUCGGCCACAUUGGGACUGAGACACGGCCCAAACUCCUACGGGAGGCAGCAGUAGGGAAUCUUCGGCAAUGGACGAAAGUCUGACCGAGCAACGCCGCGUGAGUGAAGAAGGUUUUCGGAUCGUAAAACUCUGUUGUUAGAGAAGAACAAGGGUGAGAGUAACUGUUCACCCCUUGACGGUAUCUAACCAGAAAGCCACGGCUAACUACGUGCCAGCAGCCGCGGUAAUACGUAGGUGGCAAGCGUUGUCCGGAUUUAUUGGGCGUAAAGCGAGCGCAGGCGGUUUCUUAAGUCUGAUGUGAAAGCCCCCGGCUCAACCGGGGAGGGUCAUUGGAAACUGGGAGACUUGAGUGCAGAAGAGGAGAGUGGAAUUCCAUGUGUAGCGGUGAAAUGCGUAGAUAUAUGGAGGAACACCAGUGGCGAAGGCGGCUCUCUGGUCUGUAACUGACGCUGAGGCUCGAAAGCGUGGGGAGCAAACAGGAUUAGAUACCCUGGUAGUCCACGCCGUAAACGAUGAGUGCUAAGUGUUGGAGGGUUUCCGCCCUUCAGUGCUGCAGCUAACGCAUUAAGCACUCCGCCUGGGGAGUACGACCGCAAGGUUGAAACUCAAAGGAAUUGACGGGGGCCCGCACAAGCGGUGGAGCAUGUGGUUUAAUUCGAAGCAACGCGAAGAACCUUACCAGGUCUUGACAUCCUUUGACCACUCUAGAGAUAGAGCUUCCCCUUCGGGGGCAAAGUGACAGGUGGUGCAUGGUUGUCGUCAGCUCGUGUCGUGAGAUGUUGGGUUAAGUCCCGCAACGAGCGCAACCCUUAUUGUUAGUUGCCAUCAUUUAGUUGGGCACUCUAGCAAGACUGCCGGUGACAAACCGGAGGAAGGUGGGGAUGACGUCAAAUCAUCAUGCCCCUUAUGACCUGGGCUACACACGUGCUACAAUGGGAAGUACAACGAGUCGCGAAGUCGCGAGGCUAAGCUAAUCUCUUAAAGCUUCUCUCAGUUCGGAUUGUAGGCUGCAACUCGCCUACAUGAAGCCGGAAUCGCUAGUAAUCGCGGAUCAGCACGCCGCGGUGAAUACGUUCCCGGGCCUUGUACACACCGCCCGUCACACCACGAGAGUUUGUAACACCCGAAGUCGGUGAGGUAACCUUUUUGGAGCCAG